AUUGAACGCUGGCGGCAUGCUUUACACAUGCAAGUCGAACGGUAACAGGCCGCAAGGUGCUGACGAGUGGCGAACGGGUGAGUAAUGCAUCGGAACGUGCCCAGUCGUGGGGGAUAACGCAGCGAAAGCUGCGCUAAUACCGCAUACGAUCUAUGGAUGAAAGCGGGGGACCUGUAAGGGCCUCGCGCGAUGGGAGCGGCCGAUGUCAGAUUAGGUAGUUGGUGGGGUAAAGGCUCACCAAGCCGACGAUCUGUAGCUGGUCUGAGAGGACGACCAGCCACACUGGGACUGAGACACGGCCCAGACUCCUACGGGAGGCAGCAGUGGGGAAUUUUGGACAAUGGGCGCAAGCCUGAUCCAGCAAUGCCGCGUGCAGGAAGAAGGCCUUCGAGUUGUAAACUGCUUUUGUACGGAACGAAACGGCUCUGGUUAAUACCUGGGGCUAAUGACGGUACCGUAAGAAUAAGCACCGGCUAACUACGUGCCAGCCGCCGCCGUAA
rnacentral:rRNA from 1 species